GGGGACGUACUGGUUUCGACAGGGGUUACUGUAUCAUAGACAGCGAGCCGGGAUUCCAUCUUCCCGUAAAACGGUGGGAACACAUAAAAGCAAGAAAUAACUUUGCUUUAGCAGCUUAAUGUAAACUGCUUGCCUCUUUAGAAUUUUCCUGUGAUUUUAAACAGGCAUCAACUAACAGGAUACUGAUGAGAGACUUCCGGUAUCUCUGAGGGAAAUUCAACCGGUAUAGGUAAAGGUAGUUUGUUCCUGUACAAUACUUUACUGAAAAUUAAAACAGGAACUGCGCUCGGAGAGGUUUAUGGGGCGGGCCUUUUGGACAGGGGUUCAACUCCCCUCGUCUCCACCA
rfam:Dialister sp. CAG:588 genomic scaffold, scf75